GUGAUGCCAAUGUAAUUUGUAACAUAGUAAUUGGGAGGAUCUUUGAUCACCUGGUGCCAUGCUAGUUACAUAUGAAACAUUAUUUAAUACAAUGACAAAGCCUAGAAUCAAUUGUAAACGACUUUUGUAACGGGCAAGGUGUUGUAAGUGGUUGAGCAGCUGCCAUACUGCGAUCCACUGAAGCUUAUCCUUUGCUUGAUGAUUCGA
rnacentral:ncRNA from 1 species